CGUUAGCGGCGGACGGGUGAGUAACACGUGGAUAACCUACCUAUAAGACUGGGAUAACUUCGGGAAACCGGGGCUAAUACCGGAUAAUAUAUUGAACCGCAUGGUUCAAUAGUGAAAGACGGUUUUGCUGUCACUUAUAGGUGGAUCCGCGCCGCAUUAGCUAGUUGGUAAGGUAACGGCUUACCAAGGCAACGAUGCGUAGCCGACCUGAGAGGGUGAUCGGCCACACUGGAACUGAGACACGGUCCAG
rnacentral:rRNA from 1 species